UCAUUUUGCCUAUACUUUCUCAUAAUUCUGCAAUAGCCUGACAGGUUAAUAUAAUUCUCAUAAUUAUGCUUUCUCGUAAUUCUGCAAUAGCCUGACAGACUG